rnacentral:rRNA from 1 species
GAUGAGCAUGCGUCCCAUUAGCUAGUUGGUAAGGUAACGGCUUACCAAGGCUACGAUGGGUAGGGGUCCUGAGAGGGAGAUCCCCCACACUGGUACUGAGACACGGACCAGACUCCUACGGGAGGCAGCAGUGAGGAAUAUUGGACAAUGGGCGCAAGCCUGAUCCAGCCAUGCCGCGUGCAGGAUGACGGUCCUAUGGAUUGUAAACUGCUUUUAUACGAGAAGAAACACUCCUUCGUGAAGGAGCUUGACGGUAUCGUAAGAAUAAGGAUCGGCUAACUCCGUGCCAGCAGCCGCGGUAAUACGGAGGAUCCAAGCGUUAUCCGGAAUCAUUGGGUUUAAAGGGUCCGUAGGCGGUUUAAUAAGUCAGUGGUGAAAGCCCAUCGCUCAACGGUGGAACGGCCAUUGAUACUGUUAGACUUGAAUUAUUAGGAAGUAACUAGAAUAUGUAGUGUAGCGGUGAAAUGCUUAGAGAUUACAUGGAAUACCAAUUGCGAAGGCAGGUUACUACUAAUUGAUUGAC